UCUAAGUCGGAAUGAAUCAUUGACUGCCCAGUUUUCGUUCUUGCUGUUGGUUGUAAAAAGUUUAAUGUAUGGGCUGUUUAUGACAUUCCUUGUGUGGAAACUGAGGCCUAAUUCUUCAAGCAAACGCUGCAACUGAGAGAGGGGAGAGCAGCUCAACACAAGAGACGGAAUGAUUCUUUGAUGGCUUUUUUGAUGACUUCAGCUUUAGAUUUUCUUAAUACGUCUUUAACUUAGUUACAUGUAUGCUUCAGAAUAUGUUUGAGUAAUUAGUAGAAAUGAAUACAAUAAGAGCACGUGUUAGUUUUGCAGUUGGGUUUCAAUUUUCAAGCGUGCCUACUUUACAGCCUAAUAAACUUACUUAAUGAAA